rnacentral:rRNA from 1 species
GAUGAACGCUGGCGGCGUGCCUAAUACAUGCAAGUCGAGCGAACAGACGAGGAGCUUGCUCCUCUUACGUUAGCGGCGGACGGGUGAGUAAAACGUGGAUAACCUACCUAUAAGACUGGGAUAACUUCGGGAAACCGCAGCUAAUAUCGGCUAAUAUAUUGAACUGCAUGGUUCAAUAGUGAAAGUCGGUUUUCCUGUCACUUAUAGAUUGUUCCACGCCGCAUUAGCCAGUUGGUAAGGAAACGGUUUACUAAGGCAGCGAUGCGGUACCAACCUGAUAGGGUGAUCGACCACGAGGGAGCAGAGGGAGGGUCCUGACUCCUACGGGAGGCAGCAGUGGGGGAUCGUCCGCAAUGGGCGAAGACCUGACGGGAGAAGGAGACGUGAGUUGUGAAUGUGUUCGGAUCUUAAUUCGCGGUUAUUAGUGAAGAACAGAUGUGUAAGUAGCAGUGGACGUCUGGACGGUACCUAAUCAGAAAGCCACGGCUAACUACGUG